ensembl:snRNA U6 U6 spliceosomal RNA
GUGUUUGCUUUGGCAGCACAUAUAAUAAAAUUGGAACGAUCCAGAGAAGAUUAGCAUGGCCCCAGCUUAAGGAUGUCACUCAAAUUUGUGAAGUGUUUCAUAAUUUU